rnacentral:rRNA from 1 species
UGGGGAAUAUUGCACAAUGGGCGCAAGCCUGAUGCAGCCAUGCCGCAUGUAUGAAGAAGGCCUUCGGGUUGUAAAGUACUUUCAGCGGGGAGGAAGGCGAUAAGGUUAAUAACCUUGUCGAUUGACGUUACCCGCAGAAGAAGCACCGGCUAACUUCGUGCCAGCAGCCGCGGUAAUACGGAGGGUGCAAGCGUUAAUCGGAAUUACUGGGCGUAAAGCGCACGCAGGCGGUCUGUCAAGUCGGAUGUGAAAUCCCCGGGCUCAACCUGGGAACUGCAUUCGAAACUGGCAGGCUAGAGUCUUGUAGAGGGGGGUAGAAUUCCAGGUGUAGCGGUGAAAUGCGUAGAGAUCUGGAGGAAUACCGGUGGCGAAGGCGGCCCCCUGGACAAAGACUGACGCUCAGGUGCGAAAGCGUGGGGAGCAAACA